CGUAGGUACCGAGCGUUAUCCGGAUUUACUGGGCGUAAAGCGUGUUCAGGCGGCCUGGCAAGUCGGGCAUGAAAUCUCUCGGCUCAACCGAGAGAGGCUGUCCGAUACUGCUGGGCUUGAGGACGGUAGAGGGUGGUGGAAUUCCGCGUGUAGUGGUGAAAUGCGUAGAUAUGCGGAGGAACACCAGUGGCGAAGGCGGCCACCUGGACCGUCCCUGACGCUCAAACACGAAAGCUAGGGUAGCGAACGGGAUUAGAAACCCCGGUAGUCCUAGCCGUAAACGAUGUUGACUGGGUGUCAGAGGUGUAAAACCCUUUGGUGCCGGAGCAAACGCGUUAAGUCAACCGCCUGGGGACUACGGCCGCAAGGUUA
rnacentral:rRNA from 1 species